rnacentral:tRNA from 1 species
GGAAGGCAUUCGCAUCCGGUGGUGCGGCUGGAUUUCAAAUCCAGUUGAGGGCGUCAGACGCUCUCAGGUCGGUUCGACUCCGGCUGCCUUCCGCCA